rnacentral:rRNA from 1 species
UUCCCACCAACUUGAUUGGUUAAGGCUCCCAGUAGACGACUGGGUUGAUAGGCCAGAUGUGGAAGCCCUGUGAGGGGUGGAGCUGACUGGUACUAAUAGGCCGAGGGCUUGUCCUC